rnacentral:rRNA from 1 species
GCGCGUGCACUCUGCCGUUUGCGGGCCAGCAUCAGUUGGAGCGGUGGGACAAAGGCGGCGGGAAUGUGGCUCUCUUCGGGGAGUGUUAUAGCCCGUCGUGCCAUGCCGCCAGCCCCGACUGAGGUCCGCGGUUCGCCUAGGAUGCUGGCUUAAUGGUUGUAAGCGA